UACGUAUGUGGCACGCGUUGUCCGGAUUUACUGGGCGUAAAGAGCGCGCAGGCGGUCGUCCAAGUCGCGUGUGAAAGCCCCCGGCUCAACUGGGGAGGGUCACGCGAUACUGGUCGACUCGAAGGCAGGAGAGGGUAGUGGAAUUCCCGGUGUAGUGGUGAAAUGCGUAGAUAUCGGGAGGAACACCAGUGGCGAAGGCGACUACCUGGCCUGUUCUUGACGCUGAGGCGCGAAAGCUAGGGGAGCAAACGGG
rnacentral:rRNA from 1 species